CCGCCAUUUGAAACAGCCGAGGCACAAAGUCUAUCAAAAUUCAAUUGCCAUCCCAAUUUAGAACAUCUCAAAUCCUUAAGCACAGUCCCAUGAGUAGAAUUUAGAGGACAUAAAAAGGAACAGCACGAAGAAGAGGCCCUGAGGCCAAUUAUCUGAAUAGGGUUGACGGAAACUUGAGCUUUAUGACCAAAAUGCGAAAGGGAUCUGCUAGAAAAGGCCAGAAAACGGUGUAAGAGUUGGGAUUUUUGUGUGAGAUAUACAGGGUUUGGCACCAUUUUGCUGUGAACUAAGAACGCGGCUUUCAGUAGCAUGGUUAAUUGAAGACUU
rnacentral:misc_RNA from 1 species